CCCUGGGUGAUUCAGAAGUUGUUAAGGAAUUUACAAGGAUAGUGGAAAUCUCAAGUGGAUUGCUUAAGGACUGGACGUAGG
rnacentral:pre_miRNA from 1 species